rnacentral:rRNA from 1 species
UACGUAGGGUGCAAGCGUUGUCCGGAAUUACUGGGCGUAAAGCGCACGUAGGCGGCUUUGCAAGUUAGAGGUGAAAGCCCGGGGCUCAACUCCGGAAUUGCCUUUAAAACUGCAUCGCUAGAAUUGUGGAGAGGUGAGUGGAACUGCGAGUGUAGAGGUGAAAUUCGUAGAUAUUCGCAAGAACACCAGUGGCGAAGGCGGACUCACUGGCCCGAUACUGACGCUGAGGCACGAAAGCGUGGGAGCAAACAGGG